AGAGUCUGAGGUGCCUCCCAGACCAGCCUCCCCCAAGGUCACCAGGAGUCCCCCGGAGACAGCUGCCCCAGUGGAGGACAUGGCUCGGAGGACCAAGCGCCCGGCGCCAGCCCGGCCCACCAUGCCGCCCCCCCAGCCUGCCCGGCGCCAAAGCCGGCGUUCACCAGCCUCCCCCAGCCCGGCCUCCCCAGGUCCAGCCUCCCCCAGCCCAGUCUCUUUGAGUAACCCUGCACAGGUGGACCUGGGGGCUGCCACAGCAGAGGGAGGAGCCCCUGAGGCUAUCAGUGGGGUCCCCACUCCCCCAGCUAUCCCCCCUCAGCCCCGCCCCAGGAGCCUUGCCUCAGAGACCAACUGAGUGGCUGGUUUCUCCCUAAGCAGCCCUCAGCACCCCCUCCCUCCCCACCUGGCCCUCCCAGGACAGCUCUCGCCCCCCACAAAGGGGCAUGGGCCUCCAGCCUUUGCCCACAAGUGCCUCAGUGCCCACUGGGUCGGCCCCCAUGGCCAGGAGGGCUCAGGACAAUCCUCUAUUUCCUGACCUUUUCCUCGUCCACCCUGGGCUUGGGGACCCCCCCACCGGACUCUCCACUCUCCGGCAGGUCCUAGGGGAGCCACCGGAAGGAAGGAGAGGUUUGCCUGCUCCUACGGGACUGAUUCUUCUCUUGCCGACAUGUUUUUUGUAAGGCUGGUAAAUAAAUUAUUUUGGACAAAAC
rnacentral:lncRNA from 10 species